GACAAAAUAUUAAAUAGUAUUUAAUGUAUUUUAGUAGUUUACUAGUGAGUAUACUAAUAAGUAUUAAUGCUUCUGUUCUGAUUGUGCUCUAGUUCAGCUGGGUUUGAUGGCACAGACGAAAACUGGAACUGUGUUCACUGGAACUGAAGGAGGCAGUGUGGACAUCUCCUACACAUAUUUAGAUGCAUACCAGUACACAAAGCAUUACUUCUGCCGUGCUCCGUGCAGUAAUUCUGAUGUUUUAAUUGUAAGUAAACAAGUUGAUGUGGCUGUUUCUAAAGACAGAUACUCUAUAAUAAACACAGUGACUGCACGGAGUGUUUCUGUCACCAUCACAAACCUCAGAUUAACAGAUUCUGGGGUUUAUUACUAUGGAGUGGAGAAAUGGGGACCAGACAUACUCACUGAAGUACAAGUGUAUGUAAGGAAAGGCUCAGACUCAAUCACAAUUACUCCUACUCCAGAGUCUAAAACACAAUGUGACGACCAAACAACAGAAUCUAAAAGUGACCAACAAACCACAGAAUUAAGGACUACUAAACCCACAAAACCAGAAACAACAAAUGAACCUGAGCCAGAAACCAUCGGCCAGAGUGUCUUCUUCUGCACUCGGAGGUAAACCUGUUAUCUCUCAAUCUCUCAGAUGCUGAUCAGAGCUACAAAGCUAUUAUGAUGCAGACCAGUCACUGGAGGCAUUUCAGUAAAUCUAAUCACUGCGCUUCUGCUGCAGUUCAAAAAGAGGCGGAGUCUGUCUUUACGUGUGUCGGAGGAGGCAUGUGCUAGUCCUUGUGUUGUGGCAUCACCAGUAAGGGAGGAAAUAUACAGAUGACCAGCAGUUAAAUGGGUGGGACAAUUUGCCUAGCUAAAUUUGGUAGAAAAAUGGGAGAAAAUUAGAAUAUAUAUAUUUUUUUAAAUCUACAGUUACAGUAGCUAGAGACAUCAACACUACCUACGUGAUCCAGAGUUAGGCAGCCAAUACUGCCUCUUUAAUACAGUGUGCUUUUUGAGCAGAUAUUAAAAUCUAUUAAAAUGACCCAUUGGAAGCAUUCGUCUAAAAAUGUUAAAAAUAAUUUGUUGGUGAUGCCCUCUAAUUGGGUAGGGUGCACACUCUCCCCUCAUCACUUCCAUUGUGAUGCUGGUUGGCACAAUUGUCUAUAGACUGAUGUAUCAGAACUAGAGAUAAGAUGCUUUCCUCCAUAGCUUCUGUAUCUGUUAUUUCUAAACUCCUCCAACAUCAGAAGCACUUCUCUCACUGUUCCUCUGUAGGGUCUAAAGCUGAACUGAUGUUCGGGAUUCUGCUGUUUGGCGUAGUUCGUUCCAGCCUGGACCUCAAGCAUCAGCUCCUUGCUCCUGUUCUCCAGUUAUCUGAACAAACUAGAAUACAUCAGAAUUAGAAUACAUCCUCUUACACCAGGGGUCUAAUGCUGCAAUCCAUUUCAGCUAAGAUGUUGGAAUUUCCAAAUUCCAAUACAGACUUUUGAACUGGAACGCUCCCAUAUAUGUGUAAUAUAAUGUAUAUCAAUUUUUAAAUAAAUUAUUUUAUGUCAUCA
ensembl:lncRNA